ACGAGUGGAUCCGCCGCUGCCCUCGCCCCAUCGUCGCCCCACCACCGCUCGCCGCUGCGGAUCCGCCAACUCCGCCGCCGUUCCUCUCUAGCCUCCGCCGCUGCCCGCCCUCUCCGCCCUCCCCCGGUCUUCUCCCCCUCCGUCGCCCUGUUCUUCUUCCCCUCCCCAUCCUCUCCUAAUCUUCUCCGGCGCGCGCACUCGCGGAUGCAGGCGAAUGGCUCGGGCAGGAGACAUGGCUCACGGCGGCGGCGUCUCUCCUCGGGAGGAGCUCGAGCGUUGAGGUCGGGGUGUGCGCUGCCCCUAGGACGGAGUCCACCGAUCCGUGCUGGUCAUGGUCCACCACCACCACGCCUUCAAUCCGACCUCCACAACUUCAGCAAGCAGGAGCAUCGCAAUGGUUUGUAUGCUAAGAUAAACUUGAGUGACGAGGUUGAUUUGUUUGUAUGCUAGGAUGAACUUGAGUGACGAGGUUGAUUUGGAAGAUCAUGUCUCCAGACAGGAUAAAAUCAGUGCUGCUAAUGUGAGUUGAUUUGGAAGAUUGUCUCCAGACAGGAUAAAAUCAAUGCUGAUGAUGAAGCUGGCACGCCUAUUAUCCGCAAAAAUCGGUAAUGUUAUCCUGCCCAAGGACUUCGAGAAGGGUUACCGAACCAACGUCAAGAAGCCUUAGACAGACUUUGACUUCUACAAAUGAGGCAACGAACUAUUAAAGAGGAUGGUUUAUUUCCUACGGGCAACAAUUAUUAACACUAGAGUUGAAUUUGUUGACGGUCGCGUCCGACAGUAAUAUCCCUGUAUCUUGGUGCUCCUGUAGUUUGCACAUUCAGUCUCAUUAGUGUUGUUAAGCUACUUGCCUGCAAAAAGCGUCAUGGGAGUUGCUUCCCAGCGAGAGAGAAGAGUUCAAAAAGGGAGAGAGCAAAGAAGAAGGACAAGGAGAGGGCAGUGGUGUCGUGUGGAGACUGGCCGGUGAGGCAUAACUAGAAGUUUCUCUAAUGGUCGACAACAAGGAUCACUGCACAACAGGCUUUGGAGCAGGCUCCGAUUCAUAGAGAACUCCCCAACAACCUCAUCUUUUGAGGAUGUUAGAUGGAUAUUGAAUCCAGUAAGCCUCCAAUAGAUAAAGGAAGUCAAAUUUUCUGUUGGUAAUUUGCACGACAGGGUUCUAGCAAAUUUAUGAUUGUGCCUACAACAAACUACCUCUGCCUGAAGAUUUGAGAUUUUUCAGAGAAGAAAGAACUCUAGAGGUGUGCAUGUUUGUCAUAUUUUUAUGGAGAAUCAAGUCUGCAGAAUACCUACUGAUUUGAGGAAUUCGGAUGUUACCCAUGGUCAUACACAGAUGUAGUUUAUGAGAAACUAUCUUAUGUUGAUGGUGUGUAAGCAUAUCAGCCUCCCGGUUGCCUAUUUCAUUCCUCACGGGACCAUUAUGCUGGGCUAAUUGAGGUACACACCAAGAGGGAGAAUUUCGGCAGCUGGAAAUCUGGACCUGAAAAAGCUACGUCAGGCCAUCUAUUCUGCACAACUCCAAACAAGCUGAAACUUUACAGAGAUUUUUUAUGGAGUAUAUAAGAAUUAUUGGAGCCAAUAAGUACCAGAGGGGGGUCAGGUGGGCACAACCUACCUGGGCGCGCCAGGUAGCCCAGGUGCGCCAUGGUGGGUAGUAGCCCCCUCGGCCCACCUCCGGUGCCCAUCUUCUGGUAUAUAACUCAUUUUUACCUAAAAAAAAUAAGGGGAAGACUUUCGGGGCGGAGAGCCGCCGUCUCGAGGCGGAACUUGGGUAGGAGCACUUUUGCCCUUCGGCGGAGCGAUUCUGCCGGGGAACUUCCCUUCCGGAGGUGGAAAUCAUCGUCAUCAUCAUCAGCAACAACUCUCCCAUCUUGGG